rnacentral:lncRNA from 1 species
UGGGAAAGAACUUCUUCAAAAAUUCUCUCUGCAUAUCUUGCCAAGUUCUUAUUGAUCUAGGUCGCAACGAGUUUAGCCAUGUUUUGGCCUUAUCUUUUAGAGAGAAAGGAAACAAUGUCAACUUGAGGACAUCCUCGGUGACGUUCGGCACUCUAAAUGUAAUGCUCAAUUCUUCAAAAUCUUUUAAAUUAAGAUACGGACUCUCGGACUCUAACCCGUGGAACUUGGGCGGCAAUUGAAUUACCCCGGGUUUGAUGUCAAAAUGUCC